rnacentral:rRNA from 1 species
UACGUAGGGUGCGAGCGUUGUCCGGAAUUAUUGGGCGUAAAGAGCUUGUAGGCGGUUUGUCGCGUCUGCUGUGAAAAUCCGGGGCUCAACCCCGGACCUGCAGUGGGUACGGGCAGACUAGAGUGUGGUAGGGGAGACUGGAAUUCCUGGUGUAGCGGUGGAAUGCGCAGAUAUCAGGAAGAACACCAAUGGCGAAGGCAGCUCUCUGGGACGGUACUGACGCUGAGACGCGAAAGCGUGGGGAGCGAACAGG